rnacentral:rRNA from 1 species
CCUACGGGUGGCAGCAGUGAGGAAUAUUGGUCAAUGGGCGCGAGUCUGAACCAGCCAUGCCGCGUGAAGGAAGACGGCUCUAUGAAUUGUAAACCUCUUUUGUAGGGGGGUAAACGCAGCUACGCGUAUCUGUCUGAGAGUAUCGGAAGAAUAAGGAUCGGCUAACUCCGUGCCAGCAGCCGCGGUAAUACGGAGGAUGCAAGCGUUAUCCGGUUUUAUUGGGUUUAAAGGGUGCGCAGGCGGUAGAUAAAGUUAGCGGUAAAAUCGAGAGGCUAAACCUCGGAGUGCCGUUGAAACUGGUCUUCUAGAGUGUACGAGAGGUAUGCGGAAUGCGUGGUGUAGCGGUGAAAUGCAUAGAUAUCACGCAGAACUCCGAUUGCGAAGGCAGCAUACCGGCGCACAACUGACGCUGAUGCACGAAAGUGUGGGUAUCGAACAGGAUUAGAUACCCCUGUAGUC